rnacentral:miRNA from 1 species
UGGCACUCCAGAUGUUUUGGACUACACCUCUCAUGAUGCUUUGCAAAGCAUCAUGGGAGGUGUAGUCCAAAACAUCUGGAGUGCCG